GGAGAGUCACGUGAGGCGGCGGGAGGGAGGAGCCAAGUGCGGCGGGAGCUGAGCGGUCAGUUACCUCACAUGUCGCUGUGUUUAUUACCAAUAAUAAAAGGAGAACUGUGGCGUGUAACGUGAAACAUAGGUAGAAACCGCAAGUGUAUAGACGUGAUAAUACCGACUCGUGUGAACGAGGCCUCUGACGCCUCCUCCGCGGAACAACAUUCUGUGAGUGUGAGAGGUAUCACAGAGAUGUCCCCCCACAAGGUCUAGUUUAUUUCCCCAGAAUGCACCUCUUUUGCUGGAUUUUCUGGAUCUGCCGCUUCGGCUAUUCGGAGUUUGAGAAAAACAUGUUCCAGGGCAAAAACAAUCCAGCUGUGUAAACCAGAGCGAGGGGUUGGUUACACGCAGAGCACCAGACCCUUUUCGCAGCGCGCAGAGGUUACAGUCAGUGACGCCUCCAGCAGCUAUGAGGGUUGACAACAUUUCUGGAAGCUGAUAGUGACCACAUGUGAGACAUUGCUCAGACCUCCCAUCAUUCAGCACAGGCGUCCUGUAAUCUCAGUGAUUCAUCACCUCCGGCGCCCCCUGAAGCUACACACCUGGGACUAACAGCUGCGGGACACCACAGUCCUUACUGACCUACAGGAACACCAU